AGGGUUCCGCGCCCCUCCUAUCGCCGCCGCCAUCCCUCUUCUCCACUCCAUCAUCUCCCUACCCCGGUAAGUUCAGAGAGAGAUCGUCAGGUUCAGAGCGAGAGCAGGGGAUCAUCCUCGUCGUCCCCGCCUUCUCCUUCAUCGUCAGCAGCCUCUCCGCGGCGUCUGAGGCGCCCGCGAGGAAGCUGGCAUUGUCCUUGUCCCGUUCCCGCGCUAGGAGAGGUCGAGCCCCCUCCAUGGCGUCGGCCCCGUCGUCGCAUCACCGGCGCGGAAGCUUCACUGCAGCAGGCCACUCCAAGCAUCUUCUUCCUGCGCGCCUCGUUCUCGCCUUCGGUGCAACCUAGGUGAGCAGAGUAGACCCUCUUGCCCUCUCCCGCGUGCUCGAUCCGCUCGUCGUAGCGUAGCAUCGUCGCUGUCGCGUUCCGCCAUGGCCAGAAGCGCAAGCUUCUUGCGCCGCCAGUAGGUUCCCCCUUCCGCCGCAUUAGCCCUGGGAAUGGAACCCCCUAGGAUUUCCGCACCCCCGCCGGUCAGUUGUUGCAGUCACCGUUGCCGCAUCGUCGCCGGAGUCGAGCUCCUCCUUCCAUCUUCUCAAGGUAGAAGAAGAUAGGGCGUCNNNNNNNNNNNNNNNNNNNNNNNNNNNNNNNNNNNNNNNNNNNNNNNNNNNNNNNNNNNNNNNNNNNNNNNNNNNNNNNNNNNNNNNNNNNNNNNNNNNNNNNNNNNNNNNNNNNNNNNNNNNNNNNNNNNNNNNNNAGUGUAGAUAUCCUAUUAGGUGCCGAACCGUUUCUGUUUUAGAUACCCCUCCUAGGCCAGUGGUUCCAGCGCCGCUCCUCGACCCCGUGGUCGUGGGUUCGAAUCCCCGCCGGCGUCCCUUCGUUGUUCCUCCCUGUUGCGGUUAGCUGUGGAGUAAGAUAGGUGGCUAGUGGAGCCUGGUGGUAGCUAGUGUGGUGUGUGUGCAUGAGGUGCAGGUUUCGACUCCCCCCUGCACCUUUUCUUUUGUGUGGUUUGUGUGUGUGUGGCGUGUGUGCAAGGGAUCCCUUGUGGCCAUGUGUGGGAUCCCAUGUGCCUAUAUAUGUGCGUGUGUGUGUGUGGCUGUGUGUGUUGUGGGGCUUGGCCCACUUGCAUACACCCACUAGAGGGCCCCGGUGCAAUAACCAGUGGGCCCCAUGCCAUAUUGUUUUUUUUUUGUGUGUUUUGAGUUGUUUUCUAUUUUUAGGUAUAGUCCAAAUAGGGAUAUAGCCGGUUUUGGCCUAUGCCAAAUUAGGCAGUUUUGACUUAUAGAUUUAUUGGGCCAAUGUGUAUUUCUCUUCUUAUUUGUGGCUGUGAUAUUACCUUUUGUGGAUUAAUUCCAGAAGUGGGAAUUACCUAAUCUGGUAUAUACCAGAUAUGGCAGGGCAAGAACAGUUCAUGUUCUUGGCACGGUACGUUUUAAUCUUGUGGAGUAUUUCUUUUGUUGUUUGUGUUGUUUUCCUGCAUGCAUAUAUAACAGUGUAAUAUAUGGAUUUGGGGUAGGAGAACCCAAGGAAUUCAAUGGUGGCACUGGAUUCCAGUUUUGAGCAGUUUUGCAGAAGUGUCACUUUGUGAUGAGGUGACACAUGUUUACCUUUGUAGGUUGGUUUAAGUGCAUAAUUAGGGGUUGGGCAUUCAUGCGUCAUAUUAGGGUGUGCAUCAUAUCGUGCUUGUGUUGUGGUGUAUAUCGUGUAUUGAUUCUUGUUUCUGGUUUGCUUCGUCUCGAUAGUGUUCCGCAAGUGUGUCGGAAUGUGAGGAUCCGUUCGACUACGUCGGUUCGCCAUCUUCACGGAGUCGUUCUUCUUCCAAGAGGGAUCUCGGGAAAGAUGAUCAUUUCCCUAGAUACCAUUACUAUCAUUGCCAUGCUAGUUGGUUCGUUUCUAUCGCUAUGUCUUGUUGCCUACCACCUGUUAAAUGCCACCCUCUCAACAUAGCCACGAAAACCCUCAACCUGUUCAGAACCUAGCAAACCACUGUUUGGCUAUGUUACUGCUUACUUAACCAUGUGUUAGCAUUGCUAGUUGCAGGUGCAAUUGCUUCCAUGUGUUUACAUGGGUUCCUUGUUAUAUCACCAAAUUACUGCUAUUUUAUUUAAUGCACCUAUAUACUUGGUAAAACAUGGAAGGCUCAUUCUUUCUAGCCUGGUGUUUUGUUCCACCUUUGCCCCCUUAGUUUCGGCUAGCGGUGUUAUAUUCCAUAGUUGAGCGCUCCUAACAAAAUCGGGGUUGUUAUGAGGACCCCCUUGAUAAUUUGUUUUAGUUUAAACUGGUCUGGCAAGGCCCAACUUUGGUAGUACAUUUGCCUAAUAACUAAUGGACCACAUAGGGAGUAAUUAACCCGAGGAAACUUAAUCAACCCCCGGGCCAGUGCUCCUCAUGAGUGUUGGUCCAAAAAGGGCAGACUGCGGGGCCACCACGGGGCAACUCGAGGUUUGGUUUUACCCGUAGGCUUUCCCAUUCGGUCGUGUCCUAAGAACGAGAUACACGGCUCCUAUCGGAUUCGUCGACACGUCGGGCGGCCUUGCUGGAUUAGUUUUACCUUUAACAAAAUAUCUUGUGCAUCGGGAUUCCGGUGAGACUUUGGGACUUCUCAGAGUAGAGGUUUUCCACUAAGGAAUCCAAUGAAGUCACGAGUUUCAUGAUUGAGGCUUUCUAUGUGGCUUGUGGUAAUUUAUGAUGGACUAGUUGGAGCACCUCUGCAGGGUUAAAUCUUUUGGAAAGCCGUGCACACGGUUAUGUGGCAACGUGGAAACUUUGUUUAACAUCCGAUUAUAGAUAACUUGAAGUUAACUUAAUUAAAACUUGCCAACUGAGUGUGUACCGUGACUAUCUCUUUCGUGAGCUCCUUCUCCAAUCGAGGACACGGUGGGGUUACGUUUGACGUAAGUAGGUGUUCAGGAUCAUUCAUUUGAUCAUCAGUAGUUCACGUCCAUUAUGCGUAGAUCAUUCCCCCUCUUAUUCUUGUACUCGUAAGUUAGCCACCUCAUAUAUUGCUUAGUCGCUUGCUGCAGCCUCACUCCUUAACCAUACCUCACCUACUAAUCUUUGCUAGUCUUGGUACCUUUGGAAAUGAGAUUGCAGGUACUGGUAAAUCGAUAUUAAGACAUGAGCGCGAUCAUUGUUCAUUUGGAGUUUCUUCGUCUUCUUCUUCUUCAUCGAUCUAGGAUGGGUUCCAGGCUCGCAGCCUGGGAUAGCACGGAUGGACGUCGUUCUUUUAUCGUUUGUUUUCAUCCAUAGACGAACCUGCUCUUCUUUAUGAUGAUUGUAUGUAUUGUACUGAUGUGACUCUGAUGUAGCUUGUGGUGAGUGUAAGCCAAUUCCGUAUACUCAUCUUUUCAGUACAUGUAUUUGUAACGAUAUCCAUUCUUGCGAAACGACGAGAUGCGCUUCUAUCCCCGUCGAGGCCCUCAUGCUAAAAUAAGGAUAGGAUCGCAUCUUGGGCGUUACAAGUUGGUAUCGGAGCAGUACCGACCUAGGAACCCCCUUGAUUGAUCGAACUUGGCCGAGUCGAGUCUAGUAAAAAUCUGCUUUGGAUCUAGUUAUAUAUCAAAGAGUAGGAUUCUUUUUUCUCCUCUUCUAAGCUCUAGUGAGGAAUCCUGACGUAAUAAUUUUAUUCUACUCCUCUUCUCACUCAAAAAAAAAAUUAGGAUCACACAGAUAUUUUUGGAAUCUAUAUGAUGUCGAUGUGACGGAGUUCUGUCUUGGUGCCUCCUGUCUGACUUGAUUUCUUCCGGGGAGUUGAGCUCUAGGGGAUUCUUGAGCACAUCGUUAUCAUUCAUAUUUCUUAGUAUCUCGGGACGAAGGAUGUCCGAAAUGGCUUCAAUACUAGUAGUGGCGAGAGGAGUCUAGCUUCCCCAGUACUGGUGCAGAUAGGUCUGGAUGUAUCGCCACACUUAGUAUCGUUGUGAUUACGAGGAUCUGAUAUAGAUGAGUUUUCGAGGUCUCUGGUUAUGUGUUGACGGAUGUGAUACACUGGAUGGGUAGUGUUAUUGUUAGGAGUUGAGUGAUGGAUAUUACUCCUUGUAUCCGUGGACCAGAUCGCAUGACCAGGAAUUUCGGGAGUUCUUAGGUGGGAAUUCAAGUAGUCACUUAUAGGACAAUCUUCCAACAGAUGCAUGAUGUGAGGUUGGGGUUCGACAUUUAGUGGAUUAUUUGUUCACUGUCGUUUUACAGUGGUUCACGUUGUGUCUUAAAGAGUCCUUGUAGCUUGCUAUGACUCAGGACGCUUCGUAUGUCAUGAGCACUGCCUAGGCCCGGUCUUGAGGGAGGGCAGGGGGCGGCCGCCCCGGGCCCCGGGAACGGAGGGGCCUCCCACCGAGGUGUGUGUGCUUAGCCAGUUAGGCCUGCUACUUCGUGGACUGAAAAAAGCAACACAAUCAUUCUGGGCCAAGUUACUUAGUAUAGAAGACAAAGUCCGAUUAAUAACCCACCAGAGCAUUAGCGAUCAUGGAUUGAUUCUCAAAACAAAAAAAACGAUCGUGGACUUAGUCAGCCUUCCAUGAUACAUAGUACAUCAGGUACGGGGUUGGGCUUCACGCAUGCAUGAGUCAUGGCAUCGGCGUCGGCGGCUGCCGUGGAUCAUUUUUUCCUUGUUCAUUCCGCAGUGGCGUCGCACCCUCUCCCCGGCCGGAUACAUCGCCUCCUCGUCUAUAGGCACCG
rnacentral:lncRNA from 1 species